GUUGCAGUAAUCUAUUAAACACACUGUGAACAUAAUUUUGAAUUUAAACAAGCAAUGCUUGGUUGCUGCCUUUUUCAGAGUAAUGUUAGUUGCAGAUAUUAUAAAUAUUUUGUUAAGUGGAUCUUUCAAAGAAAUACAUACUGUAGUUCAUCUAUUACAUCAAUAAAAUUCAUCAUAACUUCAUCAUAAAACUAUAUGUCAAAUAGACAAACAUUUGGGCUAAUUAAUUAAUCUGAAGAAGGCAGUGGCAUUUUAAUUCUAGUCUUCAACCAUAACUUCAAACCGCUCAAUCAAAAGGUACUUCAUUGUCUGGUUUCCCAGAUCCCCAUUUGCACCAAUAACUAUUACUCUAGGUAAAGAAGAGGCAGAUGCAAGCCGAGGAUCAAGUCAGGGGGGGCUGCGCGAGGCUCUGGGGCAGGCAGAGUUGUUCACCAGAGGGCUAUCCUGGAGCAGAACCUUCGCUUUGGAUGCAGGACCUCUCACGUCCCUGGGUCUACUACUUCCAGCUACUGGAGAUGCUGGGGCUGCUGGCCACCCCAGAGGGAGUGCCGGAGGAGGCGUGAACCUGGACCAGCAUCCUGCUGCGAUAGUGUAUGCCAAACGAGGAGAGCAGGGUCCACUCUCACUGGUGUGCUGCUCUGCAGCAGCUCCUGUCUAGUUUAAACCUGUCCUCUACUUAAAUUAUUCUGUUGGGAGGCAGUUUAAUUCCCUCUAAUACUGUGCAGAGACAUACAAACAUUUUUGUGUUACAAUUUCUAGUACGGUUACAAAUUAUAAGGUAUUUGACCAAAAUGUUUAUUCACAUUUAGUAACCCAGAUAAGCUAAAUGGUUGUUUGUAAAUUGCUACAUAUGUAAGGCUAUGCUAAUUCACCGAAAUCACAUAUUUAAUUAAUUUUUUUUAUCUAAACAUUCUAUAUUCCAGCUGCAAUUACACAGAGCUUAAAUCAAACUUUUUUUUUUUUAUUCCAUUUCCUUUGGUUUUAUUUUAUAAAAAGUCUGUACCUGUUUUGACCUACUUCUUCAAUGAUUAAACUAUCUGUACAAGCUUUA